rnacentral:rRNA from 1 species
AACCUGCCCUGAAGCGGGGGACAACAACUCGAAAGAGUUGCUAAUACCGCAUGUGUAUCGGAAUGGCAUCAUUCAGGAUACAAAGCCGCAAGGCACUUCAGGAUGGGCCCGCGGCCUAUCAGCUUGUUGGUGAGGUAAUGGCUCACCAAGGCUUCGACGGGUAGCUGGUCUGAGAGGACGAUCAGCCGGAUUGGGACUGAGAUACGGCCCAGACUCCUACGGGGGGCAGCAAUUAGGAAUCUUGCACAAUGGGCGAAAGCCUGAUGCAGCGACGUCGCGUGAAG